rnacentral:lncRNA from 1 species
GCAAGAAUCCACUCCAACAGAAUUGCCACCGUGUCAGUCCCUCUAAAGAUCAUUUCCUGAGAUUGCAACAUAUUUCCAAUUACACAAACGUGUGAAGAUUAAAUAAAACACGAUGAUAAUAAAGAAAAAGUCAAGGAAAAGAAAUGCAUCACCAUGACAAAGCAUAAAUUGUAAAGCAUAAGAAACAAAGACAGGAAAGAAAGAAAAGAAAGAAAAUGAAUCUUAUCACGGUGAAAAGAGAAACUAUUCAGAUUCUCAAUAUCUAUGGAUGCCCAAAAAAACAAACUUAAAGAAAAGACCUGGCUAUUUCAAGCAUCAAUGUAACAGUAACAAAGAGGGAAAAUGCAUAAAAAGGCUAAAAACUAAAACAUGAAAAACCUAGUGAAUGCAACCACAAAAAAAAGGUCUAAUGAGAAAAAAAAACCUUUGUCAAGAUGUGCUGGGGAAGCACACCAAGAACAGAAAAUGAACAUAUUUCUACAGUAGGUGAUGAACCUGACAAUAGAAUGUUUGAAGGCGCUUACCCAUAAAACAGCAAUCAUAUCAGAGUCGCUGAGCCUGCUUUCCUUUUCCAAAUCGAGUAAGACGUCAACAAAAUCGCCUGAACUGUCAUCACCAUCACGACCCACUUCUCCAUCACCAACCCUCCUGAGCCUGUGCUCAUCUAUGAUCCUGGAAACAAAAACGUUCACCUUCGAAACCAACUUUUUGCAUCUCUUUCUCACUCCUUGCAAGUCCAACCACCCGAGAAGCGGUAAGUGGUCACUCCAGUUGAAUAUACCAAGCAGUUCGUACCCUUCACUCACCAGGCUCUCAAGCUCAACCGCAUCACCAGAAACACCUUUUCCAAAGUCGUAGCUCCUUCCAAACACGCUCAUCAUCACAUUGUUCAAAGACCCAAAAUGCAACACUUUCUUCACCUUCACCUCACCUUUCUUCUCCAUCAAAACCCUAAUCUCAUCCACCAUUUUCAACCCAAUAGUCCUCCGAAACUCCCCGAAACCAGCGAUUCUCCUCGGACUGAACAAAUGGGUGGCCGAAAUCCUCCUCAGAUUUCUCCAGUACACCCCGAACGGAGCAAAACCCAUUGCUCGGUGGAAUAAAAGCUCAUAAGCCGACUCCUUCACUGGUCGGUCCGCGAACGCCGAACUGUUCAGAAUCUCCUUGGCUGUUUCCGGUUGGCUGGAGAUAAUGAAACGAGUAAAGCCAACCGAAAAAGCCAUCAAUGGCGCAGCUUCAGAAACACGAGCCAGCUUGGCCAGAACCCUAUGAGUCAGAGAGCCAGUGAAGGCGAAAACAAGACCUAUCAGAGGUAACCCAGAAGGGCCAGGAAUGGCGCUACGUGCUUUAGCCUUGGACAUAGCCCAAGCUAAACCACCAGGCACAAGCCAGAAACCAAAGACGCCAACGAACAAAACCACACACAAGAACAGUUCCAAACUUAGAACUGGCGAGGACCCAGUUCCCGGAACGAACGAAAAGUAGUUUUCCGACGACAUUUUCACAAGGUAGAGCCGUAGAGCUCCCCGGGAGAGACACCAAGGGAAGAGGAUAGAGAAACGAAAGAG